AUACGUAGGUGGCAAGCGUUGUCCGGAAUUAUUGGGCGUAAAGCGCGCGCAGGUGGUUCCUUAAGUCUGAUGUGAAAGCCCCCGGCUCAACCGGGGAGGGUCAUUGGAAGCUGGGGAACUUGAGUGCAGAAGAGGAUAGUGGAAUUCCAAGUGUAGCGGUGAAAUGCGUAGAGAUUUGGAGGAACACCAGUGGCGAAGGCGACUGUCUGGUCUGUAACUGACACUGAGGCGCGAAAGCGUGGGGAGCAAACAGGAUUAGAUACCCUGGUAGUCCACGCCGUAAACGAUGAGUGCUAAGUGUUGGGGGGUUUCCGCCCCUCAGUGCUGCAGCUAACGCAUUAAGCACUCCGCCUGGGGAGUACGGUCGCAAGACUGAAACUCAAAUGAAUUGACGGGG
rnacentral:rRNA from 1 species